rnacentral:rRNA from 1 species
AUUGAACGCUGGCGGCAGGCCUAACACAUGCAAGUCGAGCGGAUGAAGGGAGCUUGCUCCUGGAUUCAGCGGCGGACGGGUGAGUAAUGCCUAGGAAUCUGCCUGGUAGUGGGGGAUAACGUCCGGAAACGGGCGCUAAUACCGCAUACGUCCUGAGGGAGAAAGUGGGGGAUCUUCGGACCUCACGCUAUCAGAUGAGCCUAGGUCGGAUUAGCUAGUUGGUGGGGUAAAGGCCUACCAAGGCGACGAUCCGUAACUGGUCUGAGAGGAUGAUCAGUCACACUGGAACUGAGACACGGUCCAGACUCCUACGGGAGGCAGCAGUAGGGAAUAUUGGACAAUGGGGGAAAGCCUGAUCCAGCCAUGCCGCGUGUGUGAAGAAGGUCUUCGGAUUGGAAAGCACUUUAAGUUGGGAGGAAGGGCAGUAAGUUAAUACCUUGCUGUAUUGACGUUACCAACAGAAUAAGCACCGGCUAACUUCGUG